rnacentral:rRNA from 1 species
GAACGAACCUUCGGGUUAGUGGCGGACGGGUGAGUAACGCGUGAGAAUCUGCCCUCAGGAGGGGGAUAACGGCUGGAAACGGCCGCUAAUACCCCAUAUGCCGAGAGGUGAAAUGAAUUUCGCCUGAGGAUGAGCUCGCGUCUGAUUAGCUAGUUGGUGGGGUAAGGGCCCACCAAGGCUUCGAUCAGUAGCUGGUCUGAGAGGAUGAUCAGCCACACUGGGACUGAGACACGGCCCAGACUCCUACGGGAGGCAGCAGUGGGGAAUUUUCCGCAAUGGGCGCAAGCCUGACGGAGCAACGCCGCGUGAGGGAUGAAGGCCUCUGGGCUGUAAACCUCUUUUAUCAAGGAAGAAGAUCUGACGGUACUUGAUGAAUAAGCCACGGCUAAUUCCGUGCCAGCAGCCGCGGUAAUACGGGAGUGGCAAGCGUUAUCCGGAAUUAUUGGGCGUAAAGCGUCCGCAGGCGGUCUUGUAAGUCUGUCGUUAAAGCGUGGAGCUUAACUCCAUUUCGGCGAUGGAAACUACAAGACUAGAGUGUGGUAGGGGCAGAGGGAAUUCCCGGUGUAGCGGUGAAAUGCGUAGAUAUCGGGAAGAACACCAGUGGCGAAGGCGCUCUGCUGGGCCAUAACUGACGCUCAUGGACGAAAGCCAGGGGAGCGAAAGGGAUUAGAUACCCCUGUAGUCCUGGCCGUAAACGAUGAACACUAGGUGUCGGGGGAAUCGACCCCCUCGGUGUCGUAGCCAACGCGUUAAGUGUUCCGCCUGGGGAGUACGCACGCAAGUGUGAAACUCAAAGGAAUUGACGGGGGCCCGCACAAGCGGUGGAGUAUGUGGUUUAAUUCGAUGCAACGCGAAGAACCUUACCAGGGUUUGACAUCCUGCGAAUCCCUUGGAAACGAGGGAGUGCCUUCGGGAGCGCAGAGACAGGUGGUGCAUGGCUGUCGUCAGCUCGUGUCGUGAGAUGUUGGGUUAAGUCCCGCAACGAGCGCAACCCACGUCUUUAGUUGCCAGCAUUUAGUUGGGCACUCUAGAGAGACCGCCGGUGAUAAACCGGAGGAAGGUGUGGAUGACGUCAAGUCAUCAUGCCCCUUACAUCCUGGGCUACACACGUACUACAAUGCUACGGACAAAGGGCAGCAAACUCGCGAGAGCUAGCAAAUCCCAUAAACCGUGGCUCAGUUCAGAUCGUAGGCUGCAACUCGCCUACGUGAAGGCGGAAUCGCUAGUAAUCGCAGGUCAGCAUACUGCGGUGAAUACGUUCCCGGGCCUUGUACACACCGCCCGUCACACCAUGGAAGUUGGCCACGCCCGAAGUCGUUACUCCAACCCUUGUGGAGGAGGACGCCGAAGGUGGGGCUGAUGACUGGGGUGAAGUCGU